CGGCGGACGGGUGAGUAACACGUGGGUAACCUACCUAUAAGACUGGGACAACUUCGGGAAACCGGAGCUAAUACCAGAUAAUAUGUUGAACCGCAUGGUUCAAUAGUGAAAGAUGGUUUUGCUAUCACUUAUAGAUGGACCCGCGCCGUAUUAGCUAGUUGGUGAGGUAACGGCUCACCAAGGCAACGAUACGUAGCCGACCUGAGAGGGUGAUCGGCCACACUGGAACUGAGACACGGUCCAG
rnacentral:rRNA from 1 species